AAUUGGCGCCCAACGUGGGGCGACCUGGUACGAGAGAAUUUCCUGAGGUAGCCCUAUCCAGCGAAGCUUCGCAGAAAAGGUGGUAAGAAGUAGUAUCCGCACGAAUGCUGCAGAAGAUAUGCUGACUGUGUGCUUGCUGAAUGCCCAGACCAUGGUAUAGGAAUUCCUGAAUUAAACAGGUGACCCACCCAGCUGCUGGAGCAGUCAAGACGAAGACCUCCAAGAGAAGCUAGACAACUUCCAUCGGAACUCAGCCUGG